rnacentral:lncRNA from 1 species
UUCAUGUUCAUAAAAAUUUUAAAGUUCUAUACUUAAUUUCUUAGAAGUUUCAAAAGAUAGGUAUUAUUAGUCUUAUUUUGAUAUAAAUUCCUUUGGUGACUUUCUUUACCUGUGCCUCAUAGGGAAUUACGGACUGUAUUUCACUAUAUAAUUGUCGCAGAUUUCAUGCCAAUUUUUUUGCAAAAAGGUGGGGUAUGACCAUUAUACAGAUUUUUUUUUUUUUUUUAAGUGCUGGUAUUACUUGAAAUUCACUUAUUACUAAAUAUCUUUGGUGCAAGAUUAGGAUGCACAGGAUACUUGUGAAUAUGUUAAAAUUAAGUAGCUCAAAUCCGUGCACAUCAUUUCUUUGUGACAGUUUAGAGAAUAUGUUUGUUUAAAACAAGUUAACACAUUACUUGUUAUUAAUUCCUGCAUUAGAAUCAAAAUAUUACAAAAGAAACUUUACUCAAGAAAAUUUAGUACAGUGUUGCAAAAUAUGAACUUAGGAAAUUUAAUCUGAGUCAGAUCUUGCUGGGUUAUGGUUAGUUUUUUUAUCUGAUGUGAAGUCCUCGGUGCCUCAGGAAAGGUGUGCUUACUGAUGGUACUGCAGUGUUCUAAACAAAAUCUGUUUUCAGAAAUACACUGACAAGCAUAUCAAAAUCCUAAGUAACUGUUUUAACCCACAUUUAUUUUUUAAAGUGUACCAUAGUUUAAAAGCUCGGUAAAUUUGAAUUGACCAAACUUCUGUUCCUAUCAUAGGUAAAUUAUUUAGUAGUUAAAAAAAAAAAAAGCAUUGGGUUUAAAUCAGAAAAGUUCAGGUCCCAGCUUUAUAGUGCUAAGUGGCCCUGGGCAAGUCACUCAGCGUCUUCAGAUCUGCUUCAUCUGUAAUUGAUAUUUUAUGAACUUAUAAAAUGAGCUUUAUGGUUGGGUGAUAAUUAGGUUAUAGUUUCAUAAACUUUAAUAUACAUAUAUCCUCAGCCUUUUUUAUUUUUUAUCUGGAGACAGGAUUUUGCUGGGUAGCUUAGCUGAAGCUGACCUUGAACUUGGAAUCCUCCUGCCUCAGCCUACUGAGCCUCUGGUAUUACAGGCAUGCACAACCACUCCUGGCUGAAUUUAUAAUUUGUUUAUUCACAUUGAAAUGUUUAGGAGUUAACAGGGAGAGUAGGAAAUGUUUAUAAAUGAAGGGGAAUAAAGAAAUUUUCAGUGAAUUUAUUCAAGAGAAAGGCAGGAAAUUUAAAUGAUAGUCAUUAUAAAGUAAAGUCUAAACAGCUAAUUGUAAGGAAAGAUAUACCAAAUUUUAGCAAAGUUUAUGCAUUCUUAUUACUUAAUAGCUAGACUCAUCAUUUGCUGUAUUUUAGCUAGUAAAAUUAUAUACAUACGAUUCUUGGGCUGUUCAUGGGGCUCAGCGGUAGAGUGCUCACCUAGCAUAUUCAAGGCACUGGGUUUGAUCCUCAGCACCACAUAAAACAAAAUAAAUAAAGGUAUUGUGCCCAACUACAACUAAAAUAUAUUAAAAAAGAUUCUCAGUUUAUAUAUUGUCAUUUAAUCUUUUAAAUAAUUAUAUAAGGAACACGGUAACUUUAGUAAUUUUGUAUGUGAUUUGAUUUUGAUGUGA